rnacentral:rRNA from 1 species
UACGAAGGAUCCAAGCGUUGUCCGGAUUUACUGGGUUUAAAGGGUGCGUAGGCGGACUUUUUAAGUCAGUGGUGAAAGCUCGCAGCUUAACUGUGAAAUUGCCAUUGAAACUGAAAGUCUCGAGUGUGGUUGAGGUAACUGGAAUAUAUCAUGUAGCGGUGAAAUGCUUAGAUAUGAUAUAGAACACCAAUUGCGAAGGCAGGUUACUGAGCCACAACUGACGCUGAGGCACGAAAAGCGUGGGGAUCAAACAGG